AUAGCCUACGGGACGCAGCAGUGAGGAAUAUUGGUCAAUGGGAGAGAUCCUGAACCAGCCAAGCCGCGUGAGGGAAGACGGCCCUAUGGGUUGUAAACCUCUUUUGUCGGAGAACAAAACCCGGGACGUGUCCCGGACUGCGUGUAUCCGAAGAAAAAGCAUCGGCUAACUCCGUGCCAGCAGCCGCGGUAAUACGGAGGGUGCGAGCGUUAAUCGGAAUCACUGGGCGUAAAGCGCGCGUAGGCGGCUUUUCAAGUCAGGGGUGAAAUCCCACGGCCCAACCGUGGAACUGCCUUUGAAACUGU
rnacentral:rRNA from 1 species